AAUAGCUGGUUCUCCCCGAAAUGUCUUUAGGGACAGCCUUAUGCAAAUAGAUAAUGGGGGUAGAGCACUAAAUGGGCUAAGGGGCAUUACCUGCCUUCUGAACCCAAUUAAACUCCGAAUACCAUUAUCUUUAUCAUAGGAGUGAGACUACGAGGGAUAAGCUUCGUGGUCGAGAGGGAAACAACCCAGACUGCCAGCUAAGGCCCCUAAGAAUAAACUAAGUGGUAAAGGAUGUAAGGUUGCGUAGACAACCGGGAUGUUGGCUUAGAGGCAGCCAUCAUUUAAAGAGUGCGUAACAGCUCACCGGUCAAUGCGAUCUUGCGCCGACAAUGAUCGGGGCUUAAGUUUAUCGCCGAAGCUGCAGAUAUAUCGUCGAAAGACGAUACAUGGUAGGGGAGCAUUCUGUUUUAGGUUGAAGGAGUACCGUGAGGAGCUCUGGACUGAACAGAAGAGAUUAUGCCGGAAUAAGUAGCGAAAAAACCCGCGAGAAACGGGUUCGCCGCAAGCCUAAGGUUUCCUGGGGAAGGCUAAUCCACCCAGGGUUAGUCGGGCCUAAGCUGAGGCCGAAAGGCGUAAGCGAUGGACAAUCUGUUUAAUAUUCAGAUACCGCCUAUUAAGCGUUAUAGAGCAAGAUGUGACGCAGAAGGAUAAGUUACCCCCGGUGUUGGAUGUCCGGGGAUGCAUCUGCAGUCUUACUCCGCAAGGGGUAAGAUGAGGGAUGUGUGGAGCCCAAUCUACGGAGCGGGCGAACGGACUGAUUCCACGCUGCCAAGAAAAACCAUCUUAGUGAGUUUAGUAGGUGUCCGUACCGCAAACCGACACAGGUAGGCGAGGAGAAUAUCCUAAGGCGCUCGAAAGAACUCUCGUUAAGGAACUCGGCAAAAUGACCCCGUAACUUCGGAAGAAGGGGUGCCUUGAUUUUUGUAGAUGUACAAUCGAAGGGAAUCAAGGCGACACUAAAGAGGCUUCUGUGACUGUUUAGCAAAAACACAUGUCUCUGCGAAAUCGUAAGAUGAUGUAUAGGGACUGACACCUGCCCGGUGCCGGAAGGUUAAGAGGAGCGGUUAUCCCCGCAAGGGGAGAAGCUGCGAACUGAAGCCCCGGUAAACGGCGGCCGUAACUAUAACGGUCCUAAGGUAGCGAAAUUCCUUGUCGGGUAAGUUCCGACCCGCACGAAUGGUGUAACAAAAGAAGCGCUGUCUCGACGAGAGGUUCGGCGAAAUUGUAGCGGCGGUGAAGAUGCCGUCUACCCGCGACUAGACGAAAAGACCCCAGAACCUUUACUGUAUCCUGGUAUUGAAUUUUGAUGCAAUCUGUGUAGGAUAGGCGGGAGGCUAUGAAGUCCUGGCGCUAGCUGGGAUGGAGCCACCCUUGAAAUACCGCUCUUUUUGUAUUAGAAUUCUAACCCUGCACCUUAUAACAGGUCAGGGGACAAUGCCAGGUGGGCAGGUUGACUGGGGCGGUUUCCUCCUAAAGAGUAACGGAGGAGUGCAAAGGUUCCCUCAGUGCGGUUGGCAAUCGCACGGUGAGUGUAAAGGCAUAAGGGAGCUUAACUGUGAGACAUACAAGUCGAACAGAUGCGAAAGCAGGCCUUAGUGAUCCGGUGGUAACACGUGGAAGUGCCAUCGCUCAACGGAUAAUAGGUACUCUGGGGAUAACAGGCUUAUCGGGCCCAAGAGUUCACAUCGACGGCCCGGUUUGGCACCUCGAUGUCGGCUCAUCGCAUCCUGGGGCUG
rnacentral:rRNA from 1 species